rnacentral:lncRNA from 1 species
GGAGAGGAGAGGAGAGGAGAGGAGAGGGGAGGGAGAGGGAGAGGAGAGGGAGAGGGAGAGAGGGAGAGAGAAUGGAGAGAGGGAGAGAGAAUGGAGAGGAUAGGAGAAGGGGAGGAGAGGAGAGGAGAAGGGGAGGAGAAGAGGAGGGGAGAGUAAGAGAGAGAAGUAGAGGAGAUGAGAGGAGAAGUAGAAGGUAGGAGAGAGAAGUAGAUGAGAGGAGAGGAGAAGUAGAAGGUAGGAGAGAGAAGUAGAUGAGAGGAGAGGAGAAGUAGAAGGUAGGAGAGAGAAGUAGAUGAGAGGAGAGGAGAAGUAGAAGGUAGGAGAGAGAAGUAGAUGAGAGGAGAGAGAAGUAGAUGAGAGGAGAAGUAGAAGGUAGGAGAGAGAAGUAGAUGAGAGGAGAAGUAGAAGGUAGGAGAGAGAAGUAGAUGAGAGGAGAAGUAGAAGGUAGGAGAGGAGAUGAGAGAGAAGUAGAAGGUAGGAGAGGAGAGGAGAGAUAAGUAGAGGGGAAAGGAAGAGAGGGAGAGGAGAG